AUGUGGAAAUGUAAAAUUUGUGGAAUUACAGUUUCUGCAAGAUCUAAAUUACUAAAACAUCACAGACUGCAGCACAGACAUUAUGGUCGUAGUCAGCGAUAUUCUUGUACAUAUUCAGACUGUCCUUGUUCAUUCAAGACAUGGAAUGCUCUACUGAUUCAUCUAAGUAGAAAUCAUGCUUCACGCUCAGGAGUAAAUGACAAACGAAGGUCUACCUUCAGUUGUCAUUUGUGUGCAUGCAGUAAUCUUGCAUCAGAAAGAGAAUACUUUGUUCACAUAAACAGUCAUUUGAAGAGAAAUGAAACCGUUCAUUGCAUGUUUUCUGGCUGUAAUUUUCAAUCAAAUGUAUAUGGAACUUUUAAGUCACAUAAAAACAGAAAACACAGCCCACAUGCACUAAAUGACUUUAAGUUUGGUGUAGUUACCAUGUCUGAACAAUUAGCAGAGUCUGGAGAUGAAGCCGUUCAAGAUUUUGACAGUGAGGUCAGUGGUUUGUCUUUGGAUGAUGACAGUGAAAUGGCUAAUGACACUGAUGUUGUUGUUCAAAAUUUAGCAGCAAUGCUGUUAAAACUGGAACAUCUUGUACAUGUUCCUUCUUUAGCCAUUGAUGAUUUUUUGGAAGAGAUGCAUUACCUGUUAAAUUCUGUGUCCGUUCCUCUCUCAGUUGCCAGUGUACAGCAGGUGUUGGAAAAACAUGAACUUCGUGUUGAUGAAUGUGUUAUAAAGGAAAUAGCCGAUACCAUCGCAUCCAACCCAUUACACUCAGCCAUAGGCAGAGGCGGUUCUUUAUGCACUACCUAUAAGCGCAAGCAGUUUUAUAAGGACAACUUUAGUGUUGUGGAACCUGUUGAGUACUGCCUUGAUGAACAACAGACUAACACCUUUCAGUACGUUCCAAUUUUGAAGUCUUUGCAGCUGCUCUUGACUAAGCAGGACAUUGUUGACAGAGUUGUUGAAAACCACAGAGCAAGAACUAGUCCAGCCAGUUGCAGCAGCCAUGAUUACAGGUCAUUUCAGGAUGGUUCCCACUUCAAAGAAAACAGUUUGUUGUCUGGGAAAGACUUAACAAUUUCAUUAACUUUAUAUGCAGAUGAUUUCGAAGUGUGUAACCCACUUGGGACAUCCAGAAAAAAACAUAAGCUCUUUGCUGUGUACUGGAUUUUGAGCAAUUUACCCCCAGGCUCCCAUUCCUCUCUCUCCUCAAUCUAUUUGGCUGUCCUGUGCAAAAGUGAGGAUUUGAAACACUAUGGGUAUGAGAAAGUUCUUGAGCCUCUUCUGCGUGAUCUUUCAAUUCUUGAAAAAGAUGGCUUAUUCAUUCAUCUUCUUGGAACCUUUAUUAAAGGUACUGUUUAUUGCGUGGUGGCAGACAACCUAGCAGCUCAUGGUAUGGCUGGCUUUGUUGAAAGCUUUUCAGGAGAGUUCUUUUGUCGGUUUUGUUUAGGGAAAAGUUCUGAUGUGCAGGCAAAAGAAGUUCAGUCUGGUGCAUUCAACCACAGAACCAAAGAAGUUCAUAAAGAUCAUGUGAAAACGGCACAGGAAAAAGGUACAAGCUGUUGUGGAGUGAAAAGAGAUUGUGUUUUUACUAAGCACCUCUCUCAUUUCAAUGUGUUGUCAGCUUAUCCACCAGAUGUGCUACAUGACAUUUUUGAGGGUGUGGUGCCCGUGGAACUUGCACAGUGCUUGGCUUUGUUGAUAUCCAAGAAACACUUUACACUGGAAAGCCUCAAUAAAUAUAUUCUUCAAUUUCCCUACAAAUGGGAAGACCAGAAGAACAAGCCUCAUGCAAUUCCAUUCACAUUUUCACGUCGUAACACAAUUGGGGGAAACGCCCAUGAAAAUUGGAGCAUGAUCAGAUUUCUCCCUUUUCUGAUUGGACAUGUUGUACCUGAAGGUGAGCCCGCAUGGCAGGUGCUAAUGGACCUGAAGGAUAUUGUUGAGUUGGUGGUUUCCCCAGUCCACACAGAUGAAUCCAUAUCCUAUCUUGAGAUGAAAAUUUCUGAACACAGGCAGAGAUAUCAAGAACUUUUCCCAGAUGUCAAACUUCUGCCAAAACAUCAUUUUUUGGAACAUUACCCUGAGAUGGUAAAAUCGUUUGGCCCUCUUGUCCAUUUAUGGACUAUGCGUUUUGAAGCAAAACACAGCUUUUUUAAGCAGGUCACACGACAUACAAAUUGCUUCAAAAAUGUUCCCCGCUCACUCGCUGUAAAACAUCAGCUAAUGAUUUCUUACCACUUGAAAAGUAGUCAUGAAAAAGGAACACUGGAAGUUUCGACUGCAUCUCCAGUUCCUCUUGAUGUUUUGCAGACAGAGGUAGCUCAGAUGAUCAAAGACAAAUACCCAAAUGUAUCUGAGGUCCAUAUUGCUAAGAGCGUCUCUAGCAAGGGUAUGAACUUCAGAAAUGGUAUGAUCCUGGCACAUGAUACUACAAGUGGCCUCCCUGACUUUGGAGAAAUUGUUCAGAUUUGUGUAGUUCAAGAGACAUUGUGCUUCAUACUGAGGCGAUUGUGUGGUUGGUACAGAGAACAUUUCAGGGCCUUUGAGCUUAGUGUAUCACCAACAAGAGAGAUGUUAUUCUUAGAACAUGGUGAUUUAGCUGACGGCUAUCCUUUGGCAGACUAUAUGGUUGGUCCUUUGCGUUUGGUGACCCUGAAGAGACAAGUAAUCGCAUAA
ensembl:lncRNA